GAUGAACGCUGGCGGCGUGCCUAAUACAUGCAAGUCGAGCGAACAGAUGAGGAGCUUGCUCCUCUGACGUUAGCGGCGGACGGGUGAGUAACACGUGGAUAACCUACCUAUAAGACUGGGAUAACUUCGGGAAACGGGAGCUAAUACCGGAUAAUAUCUUGAAACACAUGGUUCAAUUGUGAAAGACGGUUUUGCUUUCACCUAUAGAUGUAUCCGCGCCGCUUUAGCUAGGUGGUACGGUAACGGCUUACCAAGGGAACGAUGCGUGGCCGACCGGAAGGGUGGUUAGGCAACACUGGAACGGAGCCACGGUCAAGACUCCUAGGGGAGGCAGCAGUAGGGAAUCUUCGGCAAUGGGCGAAAGCCUGACGGAGCAAGCCCGCGUGAGUGAUGAAGGUCUUCGGAUCGUAAAACUCGGUUAUUAGGGAAGAACAAAUGUGUAAGUAACUAUGCACGUCGUGACGGUACCUAAUCAGAAAGCCACGGCUAACUACGUG
rnacentral:rRNA from 1 species